rnacentral:rRNA from 1 species
GUUGACCUCGGAUCAGGUAGGGAUACCCGCUGAACUUAAGCAUAUCAAUAAGCGGAGGAAAAGAAACCAACAGGGAUUGCCUCAGUAACGGCGAGUGAAGCGGCAACAGCUCAAAUUUGAAAGCUGGCUCCUUUGGGGGCCCGCGUUGUAAUUUGUAGAGGA